GACUUUUGGAGGGCUGAGUUGCAGGCGGCGGGCGCAUCCCAGAGAUGGCGGGGCAGGGAGGGAGGGAAAGAGAGGAGGGGGUGGGGAGGGAGGUGCAGAUUUGCACGGAUGGCCUCAGCGGGAGGCGCGGAAAUGCUAGCCAAGCCUGCUGGCGUGAAAGCCCCCGGGGCCUGGCACCCCCCAAAACGACCCCCCACCUCUGCCCCUGCCCCCUCUUGCUUGGGUUACGCAGGGCUGUCCCUCUCUUCCUUCACCCACCUUUCCUCAUUACCUAUGCUGGUGACCUAAAUUCAAAGUAUUUUGUAUGUGUGAUUUCUUUUUCUGUUUUGCUUUUCUACUGCAUGCCUGGGGGGAGGGGCCAGCCUGUCCAGACCCUUAUCCAUUUGCGAACCUGCCAUAUGGAGGAGGCAUCUGAGGGGCUCAGAAAGAAAUUACCUCAGCACUGUAUCUGUACAGACUGCAUAACUUUUAAACUCCCGGGGCUGAAAUAAUAAUAUGGAGACACACGCACAGGUACAGGAAAUACAGCCAGUCCACAGCCUUUUCAGACUGCAGCUGACCGGAAGAAAGCCUUUGGUUCAUUCAUUCGGAUAGCCUCGGUAGUACAGCCCUGAAACAGAAGUUGGGCUUUUAAAGAGAAAGAAAAAAAAGUCUCUACACUCGCUGAGAAGAGAUAAAUCGAUACACAGGAGGGAAUAGAGAAUCGGAUUCAGCGUCUCUAAUGCAGGCAGGCAAAAGGCUUCUGUGCCCUGUGGCUUGAAGUAAAAAAGAAACAAAACUCUUUAACAACUGUCCAGCCUGACUCUUGGAGAACGGCUUAAUGUUCUACUUAGCAUUCUGGGUGGUUUUUUGUUUUUCCAGUGUGCCUCUUCCUGUGUAAGGACUGGAAAGGACCCUGGAAACCACAGAGAACUCCCCUGCCUCAAAGGAACGAGAUGACGAAUGAGGAUGCCUAUACCCUCCUCUGGCCUCCGAGAGUCCAUGGGUCCAAGCACCUGCACAUGACACAUGCAUAAGUAAUGAUCACCCAGUGCCCAAUGCUGAGCCUGUGGCUACGGAGAGAGAGAGCAGACAUAUCUUCUUGCCUCUGGCUACUAGACUGCCCUGAGAUCAGAGAGAUCCUGCACCAGGUGCCUGGCUUGUACAGAACCAGGGACGGAACGUAUGGUGAUGGGUGUGAUAGGCAAUCACUUAGCUACAUCACCCACAUCCCUGCCUGUCACUGUCUUUAAUACACGUCAUAUCUUAAGCGGUACCUCUGUUUGGUCUCAAACUACAACUUAGCUGGAAGCCCACACCCUGCCAUUUCUCCCCAAGUGCCCGCACUACAAUCCCUCCCACAGGGUGUAGUUCCUCUUUCCUGGGUAAAUUAUUUUGCAGGUGGUGUCACUGGCCACUGGCUUUUAAUCCUUUUCAGAUGGCAUUCAGUAAUUCAUAGAUUGUUCAUGAAACGCAACCUUGAUACACACACGCGCACGCGCGCACGCACACAGAACAGCCUUUAUAGGAAACCCUCCUGUUCCCUCCCUCCCCGUGCCACCUGUUCCUGGAAGAGAACAGGCUUUCCCCUGGGGAGGAUGGAAUGUUCCACAAAAGGACAGUUGGCUCUUCUCCCCAGCUCCAAGAGGAACUCUUAGUCAUCUAACAUCUGCCUCUCUUGUUUAAGUAAAAAAUUCUUUGCAAAGACAGAUCUUGUCUUCAGCCCCAUGGAUCCGGCUCACAGGGUACACGUCUAAAAAUACUUAGGGGAUGGAGAGAGGGCCCAGUGGUUAAGAACACUUGCUGUUCUGACCAAAGGACCUGAGGGGCUCACAACCAUCUGUGUAUGUUCUCAAACAGGCGCGUGCGAGAGCACGUGCACACACAUACCUGUGCGUAAAAAUAAAAAAUGUGAUAAAGAAAAAA
ensembl:antisense A930024E05Rik RIKEN cDNA A930024E05 gene